UUUGUGGGCAAUGGUGGAAUCACGAACCGAGUCAGGACCGGAAGGUAGCAGCUAUAAGUGAUGAAGCCAUGUGCCUCUUUUUU
rnacentral:SRP_RNA from 1 species